CAACAGCAGUUUUUACCUUUCUUUUUGUCAAUUAAUCAAAUUUAAGAAAACUAAAUAAUUUAUAACCUUAUUUGUUACGCUUUAGGUAACCAUUGAUACAAAGAAUGACUGGCUGUUGCAGCUAGUUGGAAAAAUAAGAAAAGUAUACACUCCGGUUGAGUGAUAAACGGGGAGGAGAAUUUGAUACAGCUUUGUUGCCGUUUCGAGCCGAAAACUUGCAGUUGGAAUGAAAACUGAAUACUUUGCUUCAGAUGAAACCUCUGCAGAAAUGCCGAUAUCCUGCAGAUGAACUUCUGUGGUGCCAUUUAUCGAGCAUUUUUAUAAAGGACCGCGCAUUUUUAUAGAGACAAGAAGGACUCAGGCAUUUGAUAGCGGAACGAUGUCGACCAUUUGAUUUCGGUUUUUAGUUUCCGAUUGAGGGGAUUACUGGAUGGCCACUUCAUCGUUCAUACCUCAGCGUCUGAUAAACCGAUGGACGAGUGACAAACACCGCGCAAAUAACCUUCAAUUCUGACGUCUUUGCUGUCUUAAUACAACAAACUGGAUUACGAAACCGAUCUCGUAACUUAUUCGAAACAACGUUCCAACGUUCCGACAAGGCUAAAUAUGGCAUUAUUCAUUGCUUCCUUGGUAAAAGCUCUGUGCGAUUACGUCCCUUUCCUGAGGCCUAGUCAGAGGAGUCGCGUGA